UUCCAUAUCACCCAAUCCAAAAACGGCAUAGCCCGAUAGACCAUGCAAAGGAUCUUUAGGAACACGAAAGUCAGAAAACGACUCUUGCAAACUUGACAGGUAAUAAUCGAUGCUAGAUUCAAUUUCAUAAGAAGGAAGCACAACGAGGUAGAUGGCAUUUUCUGGACAAGAAACGAAAUACUCAGAAAGGUCUACAUAAUCCAAAUUCAAUAAUUGGAUAUCAUCUCUUUGAAGCAAGCUGCUUAAUUCUUCAUGAACCUGUUUGGCAUAACGUUCAGCAGUACCUCCUAAAGUCGAAUAAAAGACACAAAGAGGAGAGUUUUUCCAAUCAAUAGUAUCAUUUUGUUUACGAAUGGAAGAGGAUGGCGAACCGAUCUUUCCCCUUUUGCCAACCCGCUUAAACCUUUUAACUUCUCUCUGUUUCUUUACCUCAUCUUUUUUCUCGCUUGAUUUAUCUGAAUUGGACAAUUGGGUUUUUCGUCGAAUCAGAAAAUGGAUCAGUACAGGCAGCAGCAAGACUAUGUACAAUACAGCCCGGUAUUCUUCCCAAUGCUCCCCGAUGUACCCCAAAGAAUACCCCAUGGCAAUGAUUUACCACUGGAAUUUAGCAAAGAAAUAGUAUCCUUGGUGGUUGGAAAAAGGAUUCUUUGAGGUGUGGCAUAUGGAAAAGACACAGGCAAAUUUCACCAAUAAGCGCCAACAGAACUAAGUCCAGCUAGAGAGUACUAAAAUGAAGGAUGAACUUUUAAAUUAAUUUAAAAUUUUUACUUAUUU